UGCGCUAUAGUCGUGUAUGCG
rnacentral:misc_RNA from 1 species